rnacentral:lncRNA from 12 species
AAAGGCGACGGGGCAGCCCAGCUGGGGAAGGUGCCAGACAUUCUCCAUCACCAGCCCUGGCAGGGCUGGGGAGAUGCAGAUCCUAGGGUGGCUGGAGGAUAGACUGAGGAACUGCUCCCUGCCCUACAUGGGAUGAAAGAACACA